rnacentral:rRNA from 1 species
UACGUAGGGGGCAAGCGUUGUCCGGAAUUAUUGGGCGUAAAGAGCUCGUAGGCGGUCUGUUGCGUCCGCUGUGAAAACUCGGGGCUUAACCCCGAGCCUGCAGUGGAUACGGGCAGACUAGAGGUAGGUAGGGGAGAAUGGAAUUCCCGGUGUAGCGGUGAAAUGCGCAGAUAUCGGGAAGGAACACCGGUGGCGAAGGCGGUUCUCUGGGCCUUACCUGACGCUGAGGAGCGAAAGCGUGGGGAGCGAACAGG